rnacentral:lncRNA from 1 species
ACGCCACGGCCCGCCGGGCCCCGCAGGGAGUUCGAAGGCUUCGAGGCUGCUCCCAUACGCACUGGUGGAAGGAGAGGCCGCGCUCCCGGCUGAGCACGGUGUCACGGGUGCUGCAGCCCACUGCGGAGCAACUUCGGGUCAUCUUCUUGUUACGUGGGGCCCCACCUUCGGGGUUCCCGCGACAGCAUGAAUCACGACCACUUUAGCUCCGCCCGUUGACUCUGCGGCUACGACCUUUAUUUGUCACGAAAGGCGGGCUUUAGAGGCGCGGGACUUCCACACUUCCUCUCCGAAGGCCCUGCGCCGGUGCCGUAGCCAAUGACAGGCCACGUUGUGUCCCAGCAGCCAAUCGGAAGGGCCUGAGCCUGAAGACGUGCAUUUGACCGCUCCUCCCUCCGCGUUGGAGGCGGAAUAGUGGGUUUUGCUGCAACCGGUUUAUUUUCCUUCUGUUUUCACCCAUUCUGGCACAAUCUGGCGCCAUCGUCCUUCUUGUGAGGCCAAGCCUGAAAAUGCGAAGCAGAGAGGCAGGACCAAAAUUGAGGCGAAUCCAGGAACCUGCCAAUGGGUCUCCGGGUGCGGUCUCUGAAACUGGAGGAUAUCGGGAGGAAAGGCUCUCCGAUGCGGAGAUAAUGGGGAAGCUCUUGGCAUGGUUGGCUGUAGGUAUGUGAUACCGGAGGAGCAGGAGUCAAAUAGGAUACGCCGACUUUUAAUUCAAGGAACCCUUUUCUGAAACACUUUGCCACAAUGAAGGAAAUAAGGAAUUGUACUCUCAGAGAUGUUGAGAAAAGAUACAUGGGUCUUGGAAGAUAAUUACUCAAAAUAUGCAGGGAAGGAAUAAAAUUGAAGGGUGUUUUUCUUAGAGAACAUCAUUUGUCAUAUUUAUUUGAUCAAGAAGUUGAAGAUUUAUAUAAUAAGGUAUGGGACUUACACAUUUAUUUUGAUAAAAGAACACAGAAAAGGUCAGGUAUGAGCAGAAAAUUGACAUUUAUUUCAGCCUAAUGUGGAUACUGUACUCUGAAUUAAAAAUUUCUUUUCCUUACUCUUCCAGCUUUUAAAGAUAAGUAUUAUUUCAAAAUAGUAUUUUUUUAAUUAAUAGAUUCAAUUCAGGAAAGGCAUUGGAGGGGGUGGAGCUUUUAACUUUGACAGUCUCACUCUGUUGCCCAGGCUGGAGUGCAGCGGCGCAAUCUCUGCUCACUGCAAUCUCUGCCUCCUGGGUUCAAAUAGUUAUUGUGGCCCAGCUUCCCAAGUGGCUGGGAUUAGAGGCGCAUGCCACCACACCCAGCUAAUUUUUUUUAUUAAGUAGAGACCAUGUUUUGCCAUGUUGGCCAGACUGGUCUCAAACUUCCAGCCACCAACCUCAGCCUCCCAAAGUGCUGGGAUUAUAGUCAUAAGCCACCACACCUGGCUGUUGGUUAUCUUUUCUUAGAAAUAAUGAUAUAAUCUUUUCAGCACCUGAUAUUCUUAAAGAUCCAGGGUUUACAAAUGACUGUUAGAUAUGCCAAGGAUGACUAGCCUAUAACUUAAGGAUCUGUUCAGGAACAGUAGAAAAGAAGGUGAUAGGAAACUGGGAAUCUUAAAUCUAAUACUAGUUCUGUCAUGAAUUAGGCUUGUUAUUGUAGUUGUUUCUCAAAUUUAAGAAAAUAUGAGGGGUCUUGAAAAAGUGCAUGGAAAAUGCAUAUCAUGAAAAAACUAUGCAUGGAUUUCAAAAUUUUUGGACCAAAAUAAACUCCUACUAACUUGUUAUAACAUGUCUGAACAGGAUCUAGUUUGAAGCACUAAGAAGAAUAAGACAUCAGUUUGAAAAGAGGCUCUAUCAGAACAACACGAAUUCUGCUAAAAUUGAAGCAAGAACAAACAUCAAAUAUAUGUUGACACUUGGGUGGAAGAAUGGUGAACUAAUUGAUGCUUUAUGAAAAGUUGAUAGGGACAGUGCUCCAAAGAAAUCAGUUUACAAAUGGAUAACUCGUUUUAAGAAGGCAUAAGGUAAUGUUGAAGAAGAAGCCCACAGUGGCAGAUCAUCCACAUCAGUUUGUGAGAAAAAAGUUAGUUCAUGGCGUAAUUGAAGAAAACCAACAAUUAACAGCAGAAACAACAGCCAACACCAUAGACAUCUCAGUUGGUUCACCUUACACAAUUUUGACUGGAAAAGUUCAGCAAACUUUAUACCUGAUAGGUACCAAAACCAUUGCACCCAGAUCAGCUACAGACAAGAAUAGAGCUUUCAAUGGAAAUUUUAAAUAAGUGGGAUCAGGAUCUUGAAGCCUUUCAUUGAAAAAUUGUAACAGGAGAUGAAACAUGGCUUUACCAGCGCAAUCCUGAAGACAAAACACAAAGCAGUGGUUACCAAGAUAAGUAGUUCAGUUAAAGCACAAGAGGACUGGUUGAGAGCAAAGGUCAUGGCAACAGCUUUUGAAUGCUCAAGGCAUUUUGCUUGUUGACUUUCUGUAGGGCCAAAGAAUGGUAACGUGCUUAUCAUGGGAGUGUUUUGAGAAACUUAGCCAAAGCUUCAGCAGAAAAAUCCCCGAGAAAGACCAGAGAGUUCUUCACCACAACAAUGUUCCUGCUCAUCCCUCUCAUCAAACAAGGCCAUUUUGCAAGAGUUUUGAUGGGAAAUCACUAGGCAUCCACCCUACAGUCCUGGUUUGGCACCUUCUGACUUUUUGUUUCCUAAUCUUAAAAAAAUUUUUCAGGGCAGUACAUUUUUCUCAAGUUAAUGUAUAAAGAAACUGCAUUGAUGUAGAUAAAUUCCCAGAACUCUCAGUUCUUUAGGGAUGGACUAAAUAGCUGGUAUCAUCACUUACAAAAGUGUCUUGAAUGCUAUAGAGCUAAUGUUCAAAAAUAUAGUUUAUAUUUUUUAUCUUUUAACCAUUUUUCCACAAACUUUUUGAAGUCUCCUUGAAUAUGUACCAUUUAUAAAGGGGAAAAAUUCUGUGACUACUCAUGUUGACUUAAUGCUGACUUAAUUUUCUGUUUUGUAAAUAUAUACAAACAAGUUGAUACAAAUUUUGUUUAUAGCCCUUAAACAAAUUUGUGAAAUAAAUGCAUUCAGAAACAAACUAAAACAAUGAAAUGGAUGCUACUGUUUUACUGAGGUGUAAGCAUAGUACUGGCUGCUAUGGAAAAAGUUACAUAAACAUUCAUGUAUCUUGUGAUGAUUGUUUUGUCUACAACUUCACUCUUUGCAGACAUCAAGACUGUUGAAAUGAGGGGAAGGGAUCUGAAUUCCCAAAAGAAUGUCAAAUGGGCAUGGAGGCUCAUGCCUAUAAUCCUUGCACUUUGGGUGGCUAAAGCAGAAGGAUCCCUGGAGGCCAGGAGUUCCAGACCAGUAUGGGCAACAAAAUGAGUCCCUGUGUCUACAGAAAAUAAAAUAAUUAACCAGGCAUGGUGUUGUGUGCCUGUAGUCCUAGCUACUUGGGAGGCUGAGGUGGGAGGAUCACUUGCGCCCUGGAUGUUGAAGCUGCAGCGCGCUGUGAUCAUUGCCACCACACUCCAGCCUGGGCAACACAGCAAAAACCUGUCUCUAAAAAAACCUAGAAUAUCUUUGUGCUAUGCAAAUCCUAAUUUGAAAAAUUUGUCAUUAAAUUCUCUCCAAACAUUCUUCUAGUGAGCAAUUCAGUUUUUAUUUGAUUCAGGAUUAGGCUUGGAUAGUAGUUAACUAAAUUGGAUUUAGUUUUGUGAACUAAAGAGUUUUUCUUUUUUUAGAUACAGGCAGUCUUUGCACAGUUCCAAUAUGCAUAAAUACCAGUGACCACAGUUAAAUAAAACCAGUCCAACAAUGUGGUUAAUAAUUCCAUUACCACAGUACUGAGAAAACUUGCAUAAAUUUUGCUGCUAGCUCUUUAGUCCACAAAUCAUUGUGCCCCCCCCCCCAAAAAAAAGAUGUGCAUCAUGAUCAGUCGCCAGUUACAUUACUUUGCUUUCAAAGUUUGUUGAUUUGUUACUGAUCAUCUGUUUAGUUCAUGCACAGAUAGCAGAGCACAAAGUGCAUAGUACUGUUGCCUCCUUGACCCCAGAGAUUAAACUUGUGACCAUUUAUAAAAAUGGAUAAUUAAAAGAGGUAAUUGGUCAACAAAGGACAGAGCAGCAAAGAAAAGUGAUAAUGCUGGAAGUGAAAUUGGAUGUGAUUAGAUUUGAAAGUGGUGACAGCAAAGCAAAGAUAGGUUGAGACCCAGACCUGCAUGAAGCUGUAAUACAAGCCUAUUGAAAAAG